GAAUAUUGGACAAUGGGCGGGAGCCUGAUCCAGCCAUGCCGCGUGCAGGAAGACUGCCCUAUGGGUUGUAAACUGCUUUUAUACGGGAAGAAACACCCCCUCGUGAGGGGGCUUGACGGUACCGUAUGAAUAAGGAUCGGCUAACUCCGUGCCAGCAGCCGCGGUAAUACGGAGGAUCCAAGCGUUAUCCGGAAUCAUUGGGUUUAAAGGGUCCGUAGGCGGGGCAAUAAGUCAGUGGUGAAAGUCUGCAGCUCAACUGUAGAACUGCCAUUGAUACUGUUGUCCUUGAGUAAUUAUGAAGUGGUUAGAAUAUGUAGUGUAGCGGUGAAAUGCAUAGAUAUUACAUAGAAUACCGAUUGCGAAGGCAGAUCACUAAUAAUUCACUGACGCUGAUGGACGAAAGCGUAGGUAGCGAACAGG
rnacentral:rRNA from 1 species